rnacentral:rRNA from 1 species
UCGCCUGUUUAUCAAAAACAUGUUUUCUUGAUUUAAAAUAGGAAAUUUGACCUGCCCACUGAAAAUAUUUUGAAGGGCCGCAGUAUUUUGACUGUGCAAAGGUAGCAUAAUCAUUAGUCUUUUAAUUGGAGGCUGGAAUGAAGGGUUGGACGAGGUAAAUACUGUCUUAAAUUAAUUAGUAUGAAUUUAGAUUUUAAGUUAAAAUACUUAAAUAAUAUUAAGGGACGAGAAGACCCUAUAGAGUUUAAUAUUUAUAAUUUUAAUUAAGUUAAUAAAAAAUUUUUGGUUAUUAUGAAAAAUUAUUUAGUUGGGGUGAUUAGAAGAUAAAUAAAACUCUUCUUUAAUUUAAAUAUUAUUAAUAAUUAAUUGAUCCAUGAAUAAUGAUUAAAAGAUUAAAUUACCUUAGGGAUAACAGCAUAAUUCUUUUUGAGAGUUCAAAUCGAGAAAAGAGAUUGUGACCUCGAUGUUGGAUUAAGAUAAAUUUUGGGUGUAGAUGUUCAAUAAUUAAGUCUGUUCGACUUUUAAAAUCUUACAUGAUCUGAGUUCAAACCGGAGA